CAAAAAUGUAUGCAUGCUCCUUACACAAAGGUGUAAACCAACAUGUGAACCAGCUACUUAAAUGCUUUUGCCCAUACAUAGGUUGAACUAUACACCGCUCACGGUUGUCUUUUCUGUUCACUAAAAUACAAAAAUGUGCUGAGUUAACUUAUGCCACGAAAUUGUUUUACUAUGUUAUAUCUGACUGCGUCUGUUACAGCUGUUGUGGCUACACAGACACUGUUGUAAAUUCUUGCACGACAAAAAUAAA